GAUAACAGACCCAUUAACAGGCUCGUCUAUAGAUUAAUCAUUCAAGGCUUAUGGAGACCUACAUUCAUCCACUAUAACAUAGUGGUGAAGAGUCAAUCUGGACAACCAUUGCAGGCUGUUCUUUCAUCUGAGCUGCCAGGCUGAAGUAACAGCUGAGAAGAGAAGUCUCCUAGGAGGAAAAACACUACCAAAUAGCUUGGCUAAUUCUGCCACUUCAAAACCUUUAAAAACUUCCUUACCUGAGGCAGCACUGGAUUUUAUAAGUAAUCUAGUUUUAGGAAGUGUGGUUCUGUGAGAAAGGGCCUCAUUAUGCCAUGUGCUGAGUAGGAGGCAAAGCUCCUGUCUAGCAGAGACUUUCUGUGUUUUUAAUGAUUAUCAGGUAUUCAGACCCUGAUUGUAAUCUUAAUAUAAAGCAAACCAUACUAGCAUUUCACACUAGAAGUUUUCAGAUA